AAGCCUGACUUGAUCCCUCUGACACUCAAGUUAGAGAACCAUUUAGAGUAGAAGAAUGUAGAAUGCGGAAGAAAGAGAACAGAAUGAGGGGCUAUUUAUACCAGGGGUCUGUAGUUGUCAGUGGUUAGGGCAGUUGCCAAGGGGUUAUAACCGCCUUUCGAGAAGGUGGAUGAGGUGGCCUAACUAUUGCCUUGGUGGCAAUGAAGUGGCGCAGCUGCUUGCUGAAAUAGUGUAUCUGCAUGCCGAGGUGGUGUUCUUGUCUGCUGCGGUGGCAUAACUGCCCAUUUAGGUAGUUAGGUGUUGCAACUGUCUGUUGAGGUGGCAGCUUCAGUGGUUGGGAGAGGCCUGACCGCUGUUGAGGUAGCAGACCCUGUUGCUGCGGUACUUCUAGUUGUUGAGGAGUUGGUGUUCAUGUGUAAGCUUUGAAAUGUUACUUUUAUCCUCAAUCAUUACUUGUUCUAGUUGUCCUAGUGGAGCUGGGCAAUUUUGAUAUAUGAUACCAUAAAAUAUAGUACCAUGUAGUUUCCGAUUGAUACACACCAUUUUGUUUUUUGUUAGAAAACAUUUGGUUCAUAUCUUGGUUGAACUAUAUGAUGUGACAGGUGCCAUCUGUAUGGAACUUGUUAGGCAGCAGGCAGGUCUUCAGUUUCUGUCUCGUGCAAUUAGCAGCCUGACAAAAGCUCAGAAGUGUUCGCCUAUGUUCUUGCCCAUUGUUUCACUGUUGUUGGCUCAAGCAGAAGCAAGCCUUGGAGCAAAAGCCAAGUGGGAGAAGAACCUUAGCCUUGAAUGGUUUGCCUGGCCAGCAGAAAGGAGGCCAGCUGAGUUGUAUUUCCAAAUGCACUUGCUUGCAAGGCAAUCCAGUACAGUCUCCAACCAAGAUUCUGGCGUAGGGUCGACUCAAAGCCCAGAGAGGUGGAUACUACGAGCCAUACAUUUGAACCCCUCAUGUUUGAGAUACUGGAGAAUACUUCACAAGUGUUACAGCUAGGUAAUUGACUUGCUUAUCCAGACAUGUGCUUCGUGGUUGUAUCAGCUGGCUUUAGCCUCGUUCAUUUUAGUGGUUAAUAUUUCGAAUC